AGUCUGGCCUGCCCAAUGAUUUUUGAAUGGCCGCAGUAUUUUGACUGUGCAAAGGUAGCAUAAUCAUUAGUUUUUUAAUUGAAAGCUGGAAUGAAAGGUUUGAUGAGAAAAUAGCUGUUUCUGUGUUAAUUUUUUAGAACUUCAAUUUUAAGUUAAAAAGCUUAAAUUUUUUAUAAAGACGAGAAGACCCUAUAGAGUUUUAUAUUUAGCUAAAUGUAAUAUUUUUGGUAUUUAUUUUAUUGUUUUUAGUUAUGUAUUUUGUUGGGGCGAUGGAAAAAUUUAAUUAACUUUUUUUGGUUUCUUACAUUAAUUUAUGAUUAAUUGAUCCUUAAUUUUUGGAUUAUAAGACUAAAUUACCUUAGGGAUAACAGCGUAAUUUUUUUUGGAGAGUUCUAAUCGAUAAAAGAGUUUGCGACCUCGCCGUUGGAUUAAAAUUAAAU
rnacentral:rRNA from 1 species